AUUAUUGAUUGGAAACAAUAAUACUGCUGAUGCUAUACAAGUUAGUUUGAACGAUUUUCCAUCAUCCGACUGUCCAGCUCGAACUUUAUAUUUUGUACAAGUGAAUUUUGGAUUAUUUCCUACUAAACACACAAAAGCGAAGAAGUGGAACAGAAGACAAACAGGAUGGAUGACACAUCUUCACAGGCACUUUGACUAAUGGAGCUUCGGAAAAACAUUCCGUGUCAGACUGAUCAUUUGACUCCUCGGCGUAAAGUGUCAAGGCAGAACGUUUGCAUUGAGCUGCGCAAAAUAUGAUCCGUGGGGGCGUUUUGGUCAACACACCGUCGGAGUUCUCCACAACCCAGACGUCUCCUGUGCUUGAUAAUCUGCUUGGUAACGGCGAGCCGUUUCAGGGAGAGUCCAAAAUAAAUUUGACAGAGAUCAGGUUA